UGCCUGUUUCACUUCAUUCCAGUCGUGCUC
rnacentral:piRNA from 1 species